UUCUCCUCCAAGGUUUCCUGGAACCCUCCGGCCUUCACUAAUGGCGCUCGAGACUGCCGGGUACCGCCUCAGCUGCGAGCUCCGAGCCCACGAAGACGACGUUCGAGGUAUCUGUAUCUGUGGUGAUUCCGGUUUCGCGACGUCUUCCAGGGACAAGACAGUGAGGUUCUGGGCCCCAGAUUCGGACAAGAAGCACCGGUACGUUCUGUCAAAGACUCUUGCCGGGCACUCCAGCUUUGUGGGGCCGCUGGCGUGGAUUCCUCCUGGGGAUCGUUUCCCUGAGGGUGGGAUUGUGUCUGGAGGGAUGGAUACCCUCGUCUUGAUGUGGGAUUUGAGCAAGGGAGAGGUCGUGGAGACGAUGAAGGGCCAUCAGUUUCAGGUCACCGGUCUUGCGGUCGACGACAAUGGUGAUAUUAUUUCGUCAUCCAUAGACUGUACAAUUCGACGGUGGAGGAAAGGUCAUGCUAUUGAGUUUUGGGAGGCUCAUAAAGUAGCUGUUCAAGCAGUUAUAAAGCUACCCAGUGGCGAGAUCGUUACUGGUUCAAGUGAUAAAACUCUUAAGUUAUGGAAAGGAAGGACCUGUUUGCACACUUUUAUGGGGCACACAGAUACCGUUCGAGGCCUAGCAGUGCUACCUGGGCUUGGGAUCCUUUCUGCAUCACAUGACUGCUCCAUUAAGUUAUGGGCGUUAACUGGUCAAGUCUUGAUGGAGAUGACAGGCCAUUCCUCUCUUGUUUAUUCUGUGGAUGCACAUUCCUCUGGACUGGUUGCUAGUGGGAGUGAAGACUGUUUCCUCAAGAUAUGGAAAGAUGGAGUGUGUGUCCAAAGCAUUGAACACCCUGGGUGUGUAUGGGAUGUCAAGUUCUUGGAAAAUGGAGAUAUUAUUACAGCAUGCUCCGAUGGAACUGUGCGGAUAUGGACAUUAGAUGAUGAUCGGAUCUGUGAUCCACAGGAACUCGAGGCUUAUGGAGUUGACCUCUCUCUUCACAAAAGCAGCAGGAAAAAGGUUGGUGGGUUGAAGUUGUCAGAUCUUCCUGGAUUGGAGGCUUUGCAAGUUCCAGGCACUACAGACGGGCAAACAAAAGUCAUUAGAGAAGGUGAUAAUGGCGUGGCUUAUUCGUGGAAUUCAAGGGAGCAUAGGUGGGACAAAAUUGGUGAAGUUGUUGACGGACCAGGGGAUAGCACAACCAAUCAGUUUCUAGAUGGUGUUCGUUAUGAUCAUGUGUUUAAUGUUGACAUAGGAGAUGGUGAGCCUCUUCGUAAGUUGCCAUAUAAUCUGGGAGAUAACCCAUAUGCAACUGCUGAUAAGUGGCUUCUCAAAGAAAAUUUGCCUGCUUCAUAUCGCCAACAAGUUGUAGAAUUUAUACUUCAGAAUACUGGGCAAAAAGACUUUUCUUUGGAUGCAUCAUUUCGGGACCCUUACACUGGUGGUAGUGCUUACAUACCUGGAGAACCUUCUGUUCCAUUUGGUAUGCAUUCCACAUUAGGUAGUGCACCUAAGCCAACUUUCAAGCAUAUUCCCAAGAAAGGGAUGCUUUUGUUUGAGUCAGCUCAGUUUGACGGAAUAAUGAAGAAGAUAUCGGAGUUCAAUGCAGGGCUAUUAUCUGAUACGGAGCAGAAGUCUUUGUCUUUGACAGAGCUUGAGUUGUCCAGGUUGGCUGCCAUUGUCAAAAUUUUAAAAGAUGCAUCACAUUAUCACUGCAGUAAAUUUGCAGAUGCUGAUAUUGUCUUGUUGUUGAAGAUAUUGAAGUCCUGGCCACUUUCAAUGAUGUUUCCAGUUAUAGAUAUUGUAAGAAUGAUAAUUUUGCAUCCAGAUGGGGCUGCUUUACUUCACAAGCACAUUGAGAAUGGAAAUGAUAUACUAAUGGAGACAUUUAAAAGAGCCACAGCAGCUCCUGCACAGGCUGCAAACGUACUCACCAUGAUACGAGCUAUUGCAAACCUUUUCAAGCAUUCAUAUUUCUUUAACUGGUUACAAUCACAUUACAGUGAGAUACUGGAUGCAUUGUCAAGUUGCCGGUCAUUGUUUAACAAGAAUGCACAUCUAUCUUAUGCCACACUACUGCUAAAGUUCAGUUCCAGACUAGACUGCCAUAGAGAAAAAGUCUCUAAGAAAAAAGACUACUGGACACUUGGUGCCACCUUUCGCCACCACAUUAUAUUAGUAACCUAUUUAUUUAAGGGCAGCAAAGGCAAGUCAGCGGCUGAAAAGGUCAACCAAUAGACCAAGCGCCAGAGUGAGGGACAGCUAGCCAGAUAACAUGAAAGGAAGAAAAUAAGCUCUGUUCAGAAUGAUCAAUAAAAAUGAUUGGGAGUAAUGAUCGAAUGCCGAGUAGAGUUUAUAAAGUGGAGUGAUCAUUGCUUGGAGACCCGAUGGAUGGGAGUCUCCCCCAUAGGAGCGAACUCAUUCCCAUUUGAUUUUCCUACCUUCAGAGCUAUGCUGUUCUUUUUGUCGAAAUUAAGGAUGAGGAAGGCCAGGCUCAGGUUCUCUCUGCAGCUCUUGAAAUUGCAGAGGAUGGGAAUCAAGAUGUUGAUUCAAGAUUCCGAGCACUUGUUGCCAUUGGUUCACUGAUGUUAGAUGGCCUUGUAAAGUCGAUUGCAAUUGAUCUGGAUGUCCAAAGUGUUGCAAAUGAUGCAAAAGCUUCAAUGGAAUCAAAGAUUGCAGAAGUUGGGGCUGACAUUGAGCUUAUAAUAAAAGCUGCAUAACAGCCAAUUUGCAGCAAUUCAGCAAGUUCAGGAAUGCAGAUUAAUUCUAUUAGCAUGAGCUGAAAAGCAGCCUUUGGCAAAGAGGGGCUCUGUCAUGCAGUCAGCCGAAAAGCAGAAGGCAGGAGUGCAUCUGCAUGCGCCUUGGGACUAAAAGAUACUUUCACCAACUUGUGUUUAAUAGAUGCGUGUGGCCGGUGGACUUGGAGUUUUCUACAUUUGCUCGUUAAUUUCUUCUCAUGGACAGGUCCUGAAUCUACGUUGAACUUAAUUAGUCAAGAAACUGAUGUCUCGAACCUAUGACCCGUGCUUUGUCAACUUUGAUUUUAAGGGCCUGAUUGUUUUUAUCUGUUGGCCUGCAUUCACAAUUCGGCCCAAGGAUUUUUUUUGUUCAAUGCAAGUCUAAUGAGUACUAGCGUAACAUUUUUUUGUGCAGCCAUCUGAUUUUGCAGGAUUUAUUUUA